UAGAGGAUGUUUUCGGGUACCGCCUCGGUUUAAUUUCUUGGUACAGAAUGUCAAAGUAGGGUGAGAAUCCCGUCUUGGAUCCGGCGGUAAGGGCCUAGUCGUGAAACUCCUUCGACGAGUCGAGUUGUUUGGGAAUGCAGCUCAAAAUGGGUGGUAAAUUUCAUCUAAAGCUAAAUAUUGGCCAGAGACCGAUAGCGCACAAGUAGAGUGAUCGAAAGAUGAAAAGCACUUUGAAAAGAGAGUUAAACAGUAUGUGAAAUUGUUGUAAAGGGAAGCGCUUGCAACCAGACUUGAGCGCGGCGGUUCCCCCUUUGCUUCUGCUUGGGUUACUCCAGCCGUGUCCAGGCCAACAUCGGUUCUGGGGGUCGGUCAAAGGUCUCUGGGAAUGUAUCUACCCACGGGUAGACUUAUAGACCAGGGUGUCAUGCGACCUCCCGGGACCGAGGAACGCGCUUCGGCUCGGAUGUUGGCGUAAUGGUUGUCAGCGACCCGUCUUUGAUACACGGACCAAGGAGUCUUACAUCUAUGCGAGUGUUUGGGUGUCAAUACCCGGCACAGCGGAAUGAAAGUGAUACGGAGGUAGGAAGCUUCGGCUGCAUCUCACUCGACCGAUCGCUGAAGUCCUACAGGAUGUGAGUGUUGAGUCACGAGCAAAUACCUGAUAGACCACAAAGAAAAGGU
rnacentral:rRNA from 1 species